AGAAAUCUGACAAAUGUCAGAAAUUUAGUUGGGUGUGGGGUGUUGUUUCUUAGGGAUGCAGAAAAGAGACAGAAGGAUUUGUGGUUCUGGUCAGUUUUAUUCCUGUUUCCCUGUAACCCUGAGCAAAGUCUUUAGUCUCUAGACCUAAAUAGCGUCAUUUGUAACUUGAUAAGCUGAGAACCACCUGUCGUUCAAAAUACAGGUGCCAAAACUUGCUGUCUCCUCUCAAGCUGUUGUGGGGGAACCAUUAUGGGAUGAGCAGUGAAACCUGUGCAGAGUGGUCAGAUGUCAGAGUUUUUCCUUGAGAAGCUUUCUGGAUGAGGAGGAAGGACGUAGGAAUUCUGAUUCUUAUCAGCCCAGAUGGCCAUGGGGUACAGUGGAAAGAGCACAAAGUCCCUCCUAGGGUCAGAAUUGCUAUUCCCAUUCAUUGGUCAUCAUGGGCUAGCUGUUCACCUUCUCUGAGUCUCUGUACCUCAUUUAUUAAUAUUUGCCUUAAGGUCAAAUGAAAUAUGUUGAAAGCUCAAAGUCCUUAAUAUGAAACGUGGGGGGUUACCUUAAAGCCUUUGUUGAGAAGUCAAUAUUAUCACCCUGGAGAUACUCUGAAAAAUGUGGCACUCCAGCUUCAGCCACAAGCCCCCAUACUACCCUGCCCUAGCUCUUGGACUGCAGUGGAGCUUGGAGGAAUAUAUGUGUGAACCACUCAUGAGGCAUCUGUUUUGUUCCAGACAUUGUGCUCUCCUGUAUUUUUGUUACCAUGCACACUACAAGUUUAACAGGGAACUGUGAAAAUUAUUUUCACCAAAGUAAAACAUUCAGAGAAAUUCCCUGACUUAUUUUGGUGAUGUACAAUCACUCCAAAAUAUGUAGGCCUUCUGGGAAGAGCGAUGACAAUCAUUGCACCCCUUGCUCCAAUACGGCAAUCAGAAUACUUUAGGAAUACAUUUUGUCAAAAAAAUAAAAGAAUACAUUUUGUCAA